ACAAAAGCAGAAGUAAUCUCAGAAGUAAGAGGUGACCAGGCGCCACGCGGAGCCGUUCCGACUCGCCGUCGGUGUGCAGACGCAAAACUCGGAAAGACGUAUUGAGUGCAGGGAAAACAAGCUCUUAGCUGAAAUCUGAGGAGAUAUGAGGUGACUGUCAGAGAUGCAGCUGCUACUGUGUGGCUGGUUCAGCUCAGUGCAACCGCAUAGAGGCUCUGCUGAUCCAGACGGCCCACUUUUCUCAGCUCAGCA